UUAACUUGAUUUUUUGUUUGUUGAACUUAAUAGGAAAUUAAAGUCAAGGUAAUAAUUCUUUGAUUAAUUUAGGGGACGAUAAGACCCUAAAAGCUUAAUAAGUGUAUUGAUUUAUAGUGUUAAAAAGAAAUUUAUUUUACUGGGGUGGUAAAAGUUAAUUUGCUAUAUAAUUUUUAUAAGAUCCUUAAGAUUAGGAUAUAUUGGCUAAGUUACUUUAGGGAUAACAGUGCAAUAUUUUUGAAGAGAUCUUAUCGAUAAAAGUGUUUGCAGCCUCGAUGUUGAAUUAAGAUAUCUCUGUGGGGCAGAAAAUACAGAGGAGGGUUUGUUCAACCUUUAAAUUUUUACAUGAU
rnacentral:rRNA from 1 species